rnacentral:rRNA from 1 species
GCUAAGAGAAUGGAAUUACAGGGAAUAACUAUUUAAAACUUAAAAAUUAAAUUUAUUUUAAUUUGUGAAGAAACAAUUAUUAGAAUUAAGGACAAGAAGACCCUAAGAAUUUUAAAAUAAUUAAUUUCUUGCAAGAAAUUAAUUAUUUUUAGUUGGGGCAACUAGAAAAUAUUAUAAACUUUUUUAAUACAAAAUGAUCCAUUAUUAAUGAUAAUUUGGAAAAAAUACUCUAGGGAUAACAGCGUAA